AUCGGCGACUGUAUACACGCGCUUCAAGAGCGGGAGCUGCUCUCCCUUGAAAACAACUACCACUCCCAUACGUUUUAAAGCAGCGCAAUUCUCGCGUCGGAGCGAAUGCCCGUUCCGAACCACCAAAACCCUUACUCCCACUCUUACUCCACCAUAGAUCUAGGGUUUCGACAGCCUUCUCAGCAAUGGCCGAGUCAUCUUUGCAACUCAUCUCCGAAAUCGGCGCCCAACUCGGCCGCCAAACUCGCUCCGGCAAAGAUUCCAUACUCAAAUCGCUCAAACAAGCUGCAAAUGCUUUGUCAGAAAUAGAACAGCCUUCAUCCCAGGAAGCUGACAAAAAGUUAGGAGCUGCUAAAAAGAUUGAAGUUGCCAUAAAUCCUCUGAGGAAAGCAAUUGUAAAUGGCCUUAUUCAGCAUAAAGAUAAGGAAGUUAGACUUCUAGUGGCCAUAUGUCUCAGUGAAAUUUUUCGGGUCAUGGCACCUGAACCACCUUUUGAGGACAAAUAUCUUAGGGAGAUUUUUAAGCUUGUCAUCAGCACCUUUGCCGAGCUAGCUGAUACCACGAGCCCAUUCUUUUCAAGAAGAGUUAAAAUAUUAGAGACUGUUGCACGAUGUAAAUGCUGUGUUAUAAUGCUGGAUAUUGACUGUGAUGAUCUAGUUCUUGAGAUGUUCAAUAUAUUUUUCUUAGUUGUGAGAGACAAUCACCAGCAGAGUUUGAUUAAUCACAUUGUGUCUAUAAUGACACAUAUUCUAACCGAGGAAACUUCUCAGACAGUCGUGGAUGUGAUUUUGCGAAAUCUUGUAAAUGAGGGAAAGGGUGCACCUUCUGCCUCUUACCAGCUUGCUGUUUCCAUCAGCCAACAUUGUGCAGAAAAGCUUGAGCCCUUUGUCCGUGGGUUUCUAACCGCUUGUAUUCUGGAUAGAGAUGCUGUAGAGAAUGAACUCAAAGAAUUUUACCAUGAAAUUAUUUUUAAACUUUUCCAGUGUGCUCCUCAGAUGCUUCUUGCUGUCAUUCCAAACUUGACUCAAGAGUUACUGACUGAUCAGGUUGAUGUUCGAAUAAAAGCUGUUAAUUUAAUUGGAAAACUUUUUGGACUUCCCGAACAGCAUGUUGCAAAACACUAUCGUGAUCUUUUCUUAGAGUUCUUGAAAAGAUUUUCAGAUAAAUCUGUGGAAGUUAGAGUUAGUGCUCUACAAUGUGUUAAGGCUUUCUACCUGGCCAAUCCCUCUGGGACAGCGUUGCAUGAAGUUCUCACUGCCCUGGAAGAUCGAUUGUUAGACUUUGAUGAUAGAGUGAGAAUGCAAGCGGUGAUUGUUGCCUGCGAUCUUGCCCAAUCUAAUCUGAAAUCCGUUCCCCCCAAAUUAAUAUCUCAAGCUAUAGAAAGACUUCGGGAUAAGAAGAUAUCUGUUAGAAAGAAGGCCUUGCACAAGUUAAUGGAAGUUUAUCAAGAUUAUUGUAAGAAAUGUUCUGAAGGCCACAUGGCAAUAAGUGACCACUUUGAACAGAUUUUGUGUAAAGUUUUGAUGCUGUGCUAUGAUAAAGAUUGCAAGGAGUUCAGGUCCCAAAAUAUGGAGAUUGUGCUUGCAGAGGAUUUGUUUCCAGCUCACCUUUCAGUUGAGGAGAGAACAAGGCACUGGAUCCAUUUGUUUUCUAUUUUUACCCCUCUUCACAUAAGGGCAUUGAACUCUAUCUUAUCCCAGAAACGAAGGUUGCAAAAAGAGAUGCAGAUCUAUUUAGCGCUACGAAACAAAGAGAAGGAGAAUAGCUCAGAAGAGAUGCAGAAGAGAAUGAAAACUACAAUUAUAAAAAUGGUGGCAUUUUUUCCAGAUCCUUCCAAAGCAGAAGACUCCUUUAAUAAAUUGAGCCAAAUGAAAGAUAAUAGCAUUUUCAACUCAUUGGCACUAUUAUUGGAUGAUGUGAAAUUCAGAGAUGCUCUGAACAACAGAGAUAAAUUUUUGAAAACCCUAGGUGAUAGGCACCCACUAUUUGAGUUUCUGCGCUCACUCUCCUCAAAAUGCUCGUAUAACAUAUUUGGUUCAGAGCAUGUCCAAUGCAUUUUAGAUCAUCUUUCCUGUAACAGAUCUGGAAAUAGACUCUUGGAGGCUUCUUCUGCCAAACUUCUUCUGGCUAUCAUUAGCAUUUUCCCCUCACUCCUGAGAGGUUCAGAAGUACAACUUCAAAUGUUGAUAGAGGAGAAUCACCAAAUCAAUGAUAGGCUGAUUGAAGUGUUGGCGAAAGCAGGUCCUCAUAUAUGUGUACAACUCAGUGAUAUAUACCCAAUCUUGCAGAGAGUGUGUCUUGAGGGAAGUCGCACUCAGGCCAAAUUUGCUGUUGCUGCAAUUGCGGCAUUAGCCGGUGCUUCUGAGCAAUUUUUCUUUUCAGAAUUAUGCAAGGAACUUGUGGAUUCUCUUCAUAGUAGGCGGAACAUUCCAACAAUCUUGCAGUCUUUGGGUUGUGUUGCUCAAUACUCUGUUUCAACAUUUGAGGCUCAAAAUGGAGAGAUAGUGUCAUUUAUUAAGGAGAAUAUAUUUCAAGCAGGUGCUACAGAUGAUCUGAAAUCACCUGAUGCUACUUCUGGUUGUUGUAAUUCUUGCCAAUUAAAGAUCUAUGGGCUGAAAACACUUGUCAAGAGUUUUUUGCCACAUCGAGGAACUCAUGUCAGACGACAAAUUAAUGGAGUGUUGGACAUUUUGUCAAAAAUGCUGCAAAAGGGUGAUGCUUUUGAUGGUAUCAUCUCAUGUGAAAGUGAUAGGGCUCACAUCAGAUUAGCUGCUGCGAAGUCUGUUCUUCAGCUUUCUAGAAGAUGGGAUUUGCAUAUUUCACCAGAGAUUUUUUGCUUUACACUUUUUAUGGCAAAGGACUCUUCUUCUCUUGUUCGGAGAUUAUUUUUGAAUAAAACACACAACUUAUUGAAGGAGCAUGCUAUACCUAUUAGAUAUGCAUGCGUUUUUGCCUUAGCCACUUCAGACUGCCUCAAAGAUCUGCAGGAUGACUCAUUUAAAUAUAUGGCAGAAUUUAUCAAGGAGUAUAGUAGAGAAGCCCGAAUCUGUCAAGCUUCUGCUGGGCAAGGAGGAUCAGUCACUGAUUAUCCGGCAUACAUAGUGGUCUUCUUGAUAUAUCUUCUUGCUCACGAUACAGGCUUCCCUCAUGAAAACCUUCGGGAUGAACAAAUAUAUGCCCAAUUUUGCAGUCCGCUUUUUAAUUUACUGGAGGCAUUAGUCAAUGCUACAAUUGUUGAUGGGGACAUGGAUCUUGUUAAUGAUGCACGUUUGCUUCUACUCAGUAUUUUUCGUGCUGUUAAGAAAGCUGAGGAUGCUGCUGAUGCUCAGAAUACUCCAAAGCUGCACAUAAUAGCAAACAUUGGAUUCUCCUUUGUUGCUGCAUUAAAUUAUAAUGGUGUCUCCUCGUCACAUGCCCCUGCAUUGGUCUUGUUACCAUCAUCAUUAUAUAGGGCAAAUUCCCGAUGUCUUACUUGCUCCUCUGUUGAUGACUCUUUUAUUAGUAGGAUUAUUUAUGCAUUUAAAUCUCAGAUCUGUGUGCCUGUUACCUCUCUUCCAAAACGUGGUCGGAAGUGCCAAGAGGAUAACACGCAGUUGGAUAUUAUUAAGAACCACACAUUGAUCUUGGCACCUCAUAAGAAAGUUGAUUUUUCUAGAACUGGAACAGAAACUCAAACAAAUGUGAGGCAGGAUAUUAGUGUGGGACAGAGACGAAGACAGGCAGUGUCACCUGCUUCUGAAUCAGUUGGAUUGCACGAGUGUUCAACUAUCAAUAACCAACACGGGGCAUCUAAAAAGUCUGAAAAAAUUCUAGAGAAUAAACAAUUUUCAUCUUCUUGUGAUUCUGUUACUCUGAGAUCCUCUCUGGCUGAAUCACAUGUUUCGAUUCAAAUUCCAGAAAGAAAUUCCUCGUCUUUUAAAGAAAAUGUCAGAGCUGGUGGCACAAUUACUGCUGAACAUUCCAAAUAUUCCAGAGCCAAGCUCAAAGACCCGUGCAGCUUAAAUGUAAGUAUGAAACGAAAGUGAGAAUGUACCUUGAUGUUGUUUAACUCAUCUUCACUUCAGUCUCAUUCUUACUCAUGAUAAAUAUUCUAAGUAAUCAAAUCAAUCAGUAGACAAUGAGGAUUUCACUUAAAGUACAUAAAUUGCGGUGUAUCUUUUGUAGCUCUUUAUUGCAAUAUUGGUCUUUUAUUUGUCAGUUCCUAUCCCUGCUUGGUGGACGGUUAUGAAUCAUGGUUCUCAAAACUUUAUUCAUAAGGUGAAUUGAUGCUUAUAUUCUGUUUAAAAAAAAAUAAAAAAAUGAGAAUUUAAAAAGUUUUGGUGUGUUUGUUUGCAUUUGUGAGACAUGUGGUGUCCGUCGAAAAGAUAUUUGGGAAGAAAAUGAUUGAGAUGUAUGUUUUUGGUGUUUGUGAAAGUGGUGGGGUCCACUUGAAAGUAUAAAAGUUGUGAGUGUUUAAUUUUUUGUAAAAGUGGUUUUGAUUUUUUGAUUUUUCGUGAAUGUGGUGGGGUUCACUAAUGAUUAGAUGAUUUUAGUUGGAGAUGAAAAGGUACUUUGGGGUGAUGACAUGUUUGUUUUGAAGGUUGAAGGUUGAAGGUUGAAGGUUGAAGGAAAAUGAAAAUUGUUUGAUUGGAAAACCUAUUCUUAAUUUUUGGAUGACUGUAUUUGGACAUGACCUUGUGGCCCUUGCUGAAAUUCAAUCUGCUAGAAGCUGGAGAGUGCAAUACCGUUUCUAUGUAAUAAAAAAAAUCCAUUGAUUUGGUGCAAGUAUCUAGAAAUAACGUGGGAUCUGCCCAAGGACCUACCAGUUUAGGUAAAUAUCUAAUACGUUUGCCAACUGGAGAAGUCAUCUUUUGGGGAGAAACUAUGCGUUUUUUGGGAUUUGCAUGCUCCUUGGUUAGAACCCCUAAGGGGUCCUAAUGGUUUGGACUUGAGUCG